rnacentral:rRNA from 1 species
GACGAACCGUGCGAACGUUAUUCGGAAUCACUGGGCUUAAAGCGCGUGUAGGCGGGACGGCACGUCGGUCGCUGAAAUCCCCCGGCUUAACCGGGGAACUGGCGUCGAUACGACCGCCCUGGAGGGGCGUAGGGGGACCUGGAACUUCCGGUGGAGCGGUGAAAUGCGUUGAGAUCGGAAAGAACACCAACGGCGAAAGCACUCUGCUGGGCCGACACUGACACUGAGAGACGAAAGCUAGGGGAGCGAAUGGG